AACACCUCAAAGCUUUAAAAGUUUUGGACUUGAGCAAUCCCAACACCGGUCUUUUACAGAUUGGCGGCGGGUUGCUUGAAAUGCAGGUGCAGCUGGACAUUCUCCUGAGCUAAAAGCAUAUUUAUUUAGUCCCGUCAAACGGAUUAUUACUUUUGCUGCAGCUAAUAUAAAGGGAGUUUGACCGUAUUGGCUGACUGAUGCAGGAUUUCACAAGGGUCGGCAACGAUUCUUGUAAA
rnacentral:misc_RNA from 1 species